rnacentral:lncRNA from 1 species
CCGGAGUACUUCAAAUAUCUCUUCGAUUCCAUAAACUCUGGCAGCCCGACCUGUCUGGCUAAGAUUCUGGGGAUGUAUCAGGUAAACUUUUGUCAUUCACCUGAAAACUUGUUUCAUUGUUUCUUUUGACGCUAGGUGAUCAUAAAGCAAGUCAAGGGAGGCAAGGAAGUACGCAUGGAUUUGAUGGUCAUGGAGAAUCUGCUCUAUGGCAGACACGUUACUCGGCUAUAUGAUUUGAAAGGCUCAGUGCGCUCUCGUUACAACUCAGACUCCACGGCAAAGAACGCUGUUUUGUUGGACCAGAACCUGUUGGAAUCCAUGCCAACGGCACCCAUUUUUGUCGGGAAUAAAGCCAAGAGGCUUUUGGAGCGAGCGGUAUGGAACGACACCUCAUUCCUUGCGGUAAGCAAUGGUUUCUCUCUUUUUUUUCUUCUUCGCGCUCACACUUUUAUACUGGUUUUGUAGAACAUAGAUGUCAUGGACUACUCGCUACUCGUUGGGAUUGACGAAGAACGAGGGGAGCUUGUCCUCGGGAUUAUUGACUUCAUGCGGCAAUACACAUGGGACAAGCAUCUGGAGACGUGGGUCAAGGCUUCGGGCAUUCUCGGAGGCCCAAAGAACGCGCCGCCGACCGUGAUCUCUCCCAAGCAGUACAAGAAGCGCUUCCGCAAGGCCAUGUCGACGUACUUCGUUACUGUUCCCGACCACUGGACUCCUCCCUCGGUCAUCAGCGCUUGUCCGGGGCCGGAGGAGAGUGGAAGCAGCAGCCACAACAAUGGGAGCUCCACCACAAACGGGCAGGACGAGUACGGUGAAAGCUUUGGAGGCUGAGCGGAGCUCCGGGCUAUCCAUCCAUCGAUCUACCGAUCGACCGGCUUCCUGGAAUGGUACGUAUUUCUAAAGUUCUUGAAGUUGAUGCUCAUUUUCUCCAGAGAUUGUCCGCGAAGUUUGCGUUAAGGUUUCGUCGUAGCAGAUUAAAAAGCAUGAGAAGUAAGAAAAAGUUUUGUCCAGUUCGCUGGGGAGCCAUUUCCCCGUCGUCGGUGUAUUCAUUCAUUACUCGGCAUAUUGUAUAGAGUGAAUUGUCAUCGUCCUUUAUUUCUUCCGUUUUGAUAAGGCGAGUUUAGAAGGUGGCAGGAAAUCUUGAGAUCACCCAAACCCUGUGCCUCUUCUGAAAUGAUGUUUUCGUUUUCAAUCCAGAAUCUUCAUAAUCUACAAAGUCCUUGUUCCUCGUAUAUGGAUUCGCAUGCCAUAUGCUGUUGUUUCCCAACUUCCGCCACUUCAGAUUUCUCACGAGUAACAAGUGGAACUGUGCCGCCUGCGAAAAUUUGUAAGACCUGUUCUUCGCUCUUUGAAAUUGUUGAAAAAGUACAUUCGACGAACUUGCAGCAUCAAACUCGUUGAAUGAGAUCAUCACAAUCACAAUCACAUUCAUCUAUGCAAAAAGUGCAGUAACGAAGGGGUGGUUCGGAAAACACCCUGCACGGAGGGAAGAGCAGCUGUCCACGUUGGAAUAUGCUUCUUGUUCAAAAAUGAAAAUGAACUAUGAAAUUGAAACACCUUUAACACCCACAUGGCAAAACUUAAUAGUUUUAAUUGCACUUUUGUGCUCAGUGGAGAGAAAAGGAACGUACAGAGAGUAUCUGAGGAGGCGUCCUCACCAAGGAGAGUUCCAAAGGCGCUUCUUCAGAUGGGAAGGUUGAAGAUCCUUUAUAGCAGCAAGGGUCAGGCAUUUCGAUGCGCUGUGGAAGAAAUUUUGCGCUGGUAAGCUUUGGCUAUCGUUGAGCAGGUGCCGUAAAUCGGAAGCACAGGGUGGAAAGAACGUCGUCUUUUUUGCCAAGUCGAUGGACGACAGAUUCAUCGUGAAGCAAGUGACGAGGACGGAGCUUCUCUCUUUCCUGGAGUUUGCACCGGAGUACUUCUUCAAUUCUCUAGACUCUGGCAGCCCGACCUGUCUGGCUAAGAUUCUCGGGAUGUAUGAGGUAAAGGUUUGGUCAUUCACUAGGAAAGCUCAUUUCUGGUUUCAUUGUUGCUUUCGACGCUAGGUGAUCAUAAAUGGAUUUGUUGGUCAUGAAAAAUCUGCUCUAUGGCAGACACGCUACUCGGCUAUAUGAUUUGAUUCAUC